AGAGUUUGAUCAUGGCUCAGAUUGAACGCUGGCGGCAGGCCUAACACAUGCAAGUCGAACGGUAACAGGAAACAGCUUGCUGUUUCGCUGACGAGUGGCGGACGGGUGAGUAAUGUCUGGGAAACUGCCUGAUGGAGGGGGAUAACUACUGGAAACGGUAGCUAAUACCGCAUAACGUCGCAAGACCAAAGAGGGGGACCUUCGGGCCUCUUGCCAUCGGAUGUGCCCAGAUGGGAUUAGCUAGUAGGUGGGGUAACGGCUCACCUAGGCGACGAUCCCUAGCUGGUCUGAGAGGAUGACCAGCCACACUGGAACUGAGACACGGUCCAGACUCCUACGGGAGGCAGCAGUGGGGAAUAUUGCACAAUGGGCGCAAGCCUGAUGCAGCCAUGCCGCGUGUAUGAAGAAGGCCUUCGGGUUGUAAAGUACUUUCAGCGGGGAGGAAGGGAGUAAAGUUAAUACCUUUGCUCAUUGACGUUACCCGCAGAAGAAGCACCGGCUAACUCCGUGCCAGCAGCCGCGGUAAUACGGAGGGUGCAAGCGUUAAUCGGAAUUACUGGGCGUAAAGCGCACGCAGGCGGUUUGUUAAGUCAGAUGUGAAAUCCCCGGGCUCAACCUGGGAACUGCAUCUGAUACUGGCAAGCUUGAGUCUCGUAGAGGGGGGUAGAAUUCCAGGUGUAGCGGUGAAAUGCGUAGAGAUCUGGAGGAAUACCGGUGGCGAAGGCGGCCCCCUGGACGAAGACUGACGCUCAGGUGCGAAAGCGUGGGGAGCAAACAGGAUUAGAUACCCUGGUAGUCCACGCCGUAAACGAUGUCGACUUGGAGGUUGUGCCCUUGAGGCGUGGCUUCCGGAGCUAACGCGUUAAGUCGACCGCCUGGGGAGUACGGCCGCAAGGUUAAAACUCAAAUGAAUUGACGGGGGCCCGCACAAGCGGUGGAGCAUGUGGUUUAAUUCGAUGCAACGCGAAGAACCUUACCUGGUCUUGACAUCCACGGAAGUUUCCAGAGAUGGAUUGGUGCCUUCGGGAACUGUGAGACAGGUGCUGCAUGGCUGUCGUCAGCUCGUGUUGUGAAAUGUUGGGUUAAGUCCCGCAACGAGCGCAACCCUUAUCCUUUGUUGCCAGCGGUCCGGCCGGGAACUCAAAGGAGACUGCCAGUGAUAAACUGGAGGAAGGUGGGGAUGACGUCAAGUCAUCAUGGCCCUUACGACCAGGGCUACACACGUGCUACAAUGGCGCAUACAAAGAGAAGCGACCUCGCGAGAGCAAGCGGACCUCAUAAAGUGCGUCGUAGUCCGGAUUGGAGUCUGCAACUCGACUCCAUGAAGUCGGAAUCGCUAGUAAUCGUGGAUCAGAAUGCCACGGUGAAUACGUUCCCGGGCCUUGUACACACCGCCCGUCACACCAUGGGAGUGGGUUGCAAAAGAAGUAGGUAGCUUAACCUUCGGGAGGGCGCUUACCACUUUGUGAUUCAUGACUGGGGUGAAGUCGUAACAAGGUAACCGUAGGGGAACCUGCGGUUGGAUCACCU
rnacentral:rRNA from 1 species